rnacentral:rRNA from 1 species
UACGUAGGCAGCGAGCGUUGUUCGGAGUUACUGGGCGUAAAGCGUGCGUAGGCGGUCUUCCAAGUUUGGUGUGAAAUCUCCCGGCUUAACCGGGAGGGUGCGCCGAAAACUGGGAGGCUGGAGUAUGGGAGAGGUAGGCGGAAUUCCUGGUGUAGCGGUGAAAUGCGUAGAUAUCAGGAGGAACACCUGUGGUGUAGACGGCUUACUGGACCAUGACUGACGCUGAGGCACGAAAGCGUGGGGAGCAAACAGG